UGGGGUGUAGCUCAGUGGUAGAGUACUUGGUUAGCAUGCAUGAGGCCCUGGGUUCUAUCCUAGCACUGCAA
rnacentral:tRNA from 1 species